GCAAGUCGAGCGGUAGAGAGAAGCUUGCUUCUCUUGAGAGCGGCGGACGGGUGAGUAAUGCCUAGGAAUCUGCCUGGUAGUGGGGGAUAACGUUCGGAAACGGACGCUAAUACCGCAUACGUCCUACGGGAGAAAGCAGGGGACCUUCGGGCCUUGCGCUAUCAGAUGAGCCUAGGUCGGAUUAGCUAGUUGGUGAGGUAAUGGCUCACCAAGGCGACGAUCCGUAACUGGUCUGAGAGGAUGAUCAGUCACACUGGAACUGAGACACGGUCCAGACUCCUACGGGAGGCAGCAGUGGGGAAUAUUGGACAAUGGGCGAAAGCCUGAUCCAGCCAUGCCGCGUGUGUGAAGAAGGUCUUCGGAUUGUAAAGCACUUUAAGUUGGGAGGAAGGGUUGUAGAUUAAUACUCUGCAAUUUUGACGUUACCGACAGAAUAAGCACCGGCUAACUCUGUGCCAGCAGCCGCGGUAAUACAGAGGGUGCAAGCGUUAAUCGGAAUUACUGGGCGUAAAGCGCGCGUAGGUGGUUUGUUAAGUUGGAUGUGAAAUCCCCGGGCUCAACCUGGGAACUGCAUUCAAAACUGACUGACUAGAGUAUGGUAGAGGGUGGUGGAAUUUCCUGUGUAGCGGUGAAAUGCGUAGAUAUAGGAAGGAACACCAGUGGCGAAGGCGACCACCUGGACUAAUACUGACACUGAGG
rnacentral:rRNA from 1 species